rnacentral:sRNA from 1 species
CCUCAUCCAUUUUCUCUCUCUACCUAGCCGGCACUCUCCCCUCUCUCUAAACAAGCUUCCUUUUUCUUUUCUCUCCAGCAGAAGCUCCCUCUUUUUUCUCCCUUGCCGUCGGCCUGUCUUCUAGCCGGCGAUCUUGCCUUCAUUCUUCUUUUUUUUGUUCCUUCCGUCUCUCUUCCUCGCCUUCCUCCCUUAGCGUCGGCAGCUCUCCCCGCCGGCGUCUUCUUCUCUCCUUCUCUUCUCCCUGUCUUUCUUUUUUAUUUCUACUCUCUUCCUCAUUUCCCUUUUCCAUUUUCUCUCUCUACCUAGCCGGCACUCUCCCCUCUCUCUAAAAAAGCUUCCUUUUUCUUUUCUCUCCAGCAGAAGCUCCCUCUCUUUCCUCCCUGUGUCUUACCGUUUCACAUUCAAGUAGUGAAAAAAAAAAUUUGAAAAAAAAAAAACUUUUCUUUGAUCCCUGCUAGCUACUUUUUCUUUCCUUAAUUUUGGUUUCCCGGUCUCCGAAGGUAGAGAGACAAAUCCAGGCAGCUUUAGGGUUAAGAUCCAAGUGAGACCAAUUGUAUGUUUUAGUUAAGUUGAGUAGAAAUUUUCAUUCUUGACAAACAGUAGUGUAUUUGACAAAUUUUUAAAAAUUUGGCCCUUUUAAUUUUGUUUGCUUUCAAAAUUUUUGUUGAAGGCAAACUGUUAUAUCUUUCAACUUCAGGUGUAGAUUAUGUGUGUGAUUUUGAGUUGUUCACUUGUGGUUGUGUGUUAAGAGGUGGUGAGUCCACGGCAGAAAAUUGUCAAAUUCUUCAAACUAGGGUGAAUAGGCUUAAAUCAAACAAAGAGGUGGAUACAACCCGGUUGCAAGGUUACUCUUGCGCUGUCCAGUUUGCUGGUACUUUAUAAAUAUUCCACAAUUGCUUUUAUCCCUUGUAUUUCGGCAUAUGAUCAUCAAAGCUUCGGGAAUAUCCCUUUUACUUAGGUAAAGUCGAUUUUUGUAUUGGAUUUAAUUCUUUUAAGAUAAGAGUCGAGAAAAAUCUUAAUUUCACAUUGAUGUAUUUUUUAUUAACGUUUGAGCAAAGAUAGUCCAUUAUAGACCACCAAUGACCAAAACUAUUUUUUUUGUUUUUGAUAAGCCAUGAAUGACUUUCAUUAAGAAGGACGGUUACUUAAUUUCAACCCUGCCAAAGCAGGACAAACACUGUCUGUCAAAAAAUCCCAUACAGAGAGACUCUGCACAUUCCCCCUAUAGAAAACAAAAACAUUCACCUUUUACAAAAAUAUCCCUUGUACAAUCCCAAUGAUCAAAACUUGUCAAUUAUUUAAGAUUUUGGAUUGAGAUAUAAUUAUUUAUUAAAUAAAAUUUUUAUAAAAAAUAGAAAAAGUGAAGCCAAUAAUUACAUAAAGCAAAAGAUGCUUGGACCAUUGUUAUUUGAAUAAAAAAAUAACAAUAAAAAUAAGAAGAAUAUAUUUGAUUUAUUUAAAGGGUCUUCCACUUUCAAUCAAAGUCCAAAAAUGGAAUGAAGAAUAUAUUUGAUUUAUUUAAAGGGUCUUCCCCAAAUUUAAGUUAAUUUGUAAUCAAAUAAAAAAAAUUCCAAAUAUCAAUAUAUAUAUUUUUUGUCUAGUUUAAGAAACUUGUCUAAUUAUGCUAUCCUAAGUAAAAGCUUGGGAUAGAUUAAAAUUUUAUUAAUUGUCUAGACUAAUCCAAAGUAAAAGCAUGAGAUAGAUUUGACACUAAACAUUUGGGGUCCAAGAGUAAACAUUAUAAUGUUGGAAUUUGAUUAAUUUUAUCAUAAAAAAGAAUAAUGAGUUCAGGUCCAAUUCAUAGUGCUUAAUUUGAGUC